CCUACGGGAGGCAGCAGUGAGGAAUAUUGGUCAAUGGACGCAAGUCUGAACCAGCCAUGCCGCGUGCAGAAAGACGGCUCUAUGAGUUGUAAACUGCUUUUGUACGAGGGCAAACGCAGAUACGCGUAUCUGUCUGAAAGUAUCGUACGAAUUAGGAUCGGCUAACUCCGUACCAGCAGCCGCGGUAAUACGGAGGAUGAAUGCGUUAUCCGGAUUUAUUGGGUUGAAAGGGUGCGUAGGCGGUCGGAUAAGUUAGAGGUGAAAUCCCGGGGCUCAACUUCGGAAUUGCAUCUGAUACUGUGCGACUAGAGAGUAGUUGCGGUAGGCGGAAUGUAUGGUGUAGCGGUGAAAUGCUUAGAGAUC
rnacentral:rRNA from 1 species